AACAAAUCAACUUUUCAGUUUUUAGAUAUAAUGUUUAACUCUUCGUCUUAUUUAAAAAAAUUUUACGAUUAAUAAUUUUAUUUUUAUUAGAUGAUAAAACAUAAAUAGUACUUUAUGUGUGACUAAUUCUUUUAAAAAUUUAAAUAUUUUUUAAAUAAGACGGAUAAUUAAAUGUUUGACACACCAAUC
rnacentral:pre_miRNA from 1 species